rnacentral:rRNA from 1 species
GCGUAAAGGGCUCGCAGGCGGUUUCUUAAGUCUGAUGUGAAAGCCCCCGGCUCAACCGGGGAGGGUCAUUGGAAACUGGGAAACUUGAGUGCAGAAGAGGAGAGUGGAAUUCCACGUGUAGCGGUGAAAUGCGUAGAGAUGUGGAGGAACACCAGUGGCGAAGGCGACUCUCUGGUCUGUAACUGACGCUGAGGAGCGAAAGCGUGGGGAGCGAACAGGAUUAGAUACCCUGGUAGUCCACGCCGUAAACGAUGAGUGCUAAGUGUUAGGGGGUUUCCGCCCCUUAGUGCUGCAGCUAACGCAUUAAGCACUCCGCCUGGGGAGUACGGUCGCAAGACUGAAACUCAAAGGAAUUGACGGGGGCCCGCACAAGCGGUGGAGCAUGUGGUUUAU